UUGUUUAAAGCUUCAUUUAGUCACAAUCAUAAAAGAUUACCUUUCAGUACUUCUUUGGGUUGCCUGUUUUUGAAUAGAAAUAAUCUGUCUUUUGUGUUUGGAAAAAUCUGUUUUCAAGUAAUAGCCCAUAACUUGAUUUCAAAAUCAAAAGUCAAAAAAUAUGUUUUUUCCGAGUUGAAAGUAUAUAUUUUUGACAUUUCAUGAUGUACCAGCUUUCUUCAUAUGGAUGGUGUAUAAUGCAAAUACAAAUAUUACCUGCUUAAGGCUUUCAACUAACAGGCAAACAAGUUAGUCAAGUCAGCAAGCAAACAAAAUGUAGAAAAGCAAUAGAGAGAAAACUGUCACCUUAGUAUAAAAACAUUCUAAGGAUAUUCUACCUUUUGUCCUUCAGCAAAUUUCAUUAAAAAAUAAGGUGGCUAAGAAAAAACACUGCUAUAGUUCUUGUUUUGGUUCUCACACUUUUUCUCCCUUCCCAAGCUGGCCCCCUGAGAGAAGGCAGCAUUGAGAGGUACUAUGAAUGUCUGCAGUGGGAUUUGCAACACCAGUUGUUGGGUUCUAGGGACAUAAUUUUGCCUGGAUUAACUGCCCUAAGAAGGUGGUUGUGAUAUAAGCUGACUCUACUCUUGUGGUGAUCCAUGGUCAAGGCUGCAGUGGAGCUGACUUAUAAAGAUGAAGCAAACAUGGACAAAGAUGUGCUAAGUAUAAGCACAAGCCAAUGCAUUGCUGUCUUCCGUGAAGGAAUUUUGUUUUUGGUAAGUGACAAUUUCUCUUCAGUUUCCAACUUGUGAAAUAAAAUUUCUUGAAUUCUUCA
rnacentral:lncRNA from 12 species